CAAAUUUAUAAUUUAUAAUCCAGAAAACUGGUAUCAACCGAAUUAAAUGUGAUUUUGAUGUGUGAGUGUAGAGGACUUGAAUCUCAAUAGACAGAAUGUGAGUGUUUUUUCACUCAUUAAUCCAAACAAAAGAGUAGGUAUUGUUCUAUGUAGGAUAUAAUGUAUGUAAACCUCCAAAACCCUCCAUAACCAUUCUGUAAAGGACGCAUAUUAGGGCCGGGUCGUAAGUGUAAAAAAAAAAAACCCCACGAGUCUCCAUUUUGUGGUCGAAGAUUAGAGAGGAGCGCAGAGGUCUAGUUCAGAGCGUUUCACGGUGAAUUGUGAGCGGUUAAAGUACAGGCAGUUGGCCCUGUGUUGUGUUCUACUGCUGAACGACAGUCAUAUCCAGGACGCUGUAAAUAUGGCCGGAAAAAACGGUGCACUUGUGUCGAGGAAGGACAUGGACUCGGACAGCUGUGACAGCGAGGAGGAGAGCAAGAGGAUGGAGGAGAGGAAGCAGAGGAAGCUGAUGAGGAAGAAGAUGAAAGAACACGGAAUUGUGAACCAUGGAAUGUCGGGAAAAGGAGUGCGUGAAAUAGAGUGGGAAUGUCACUCGGAUGUGCAGGGCACAAAAUGGGGGGCUGACUUCGGCUUUGAUAAGGGGAUGUUUAGAGCAGUGGGAAUCCGUGGUGGGGUUGGAUACGAGACUUACUCUGAAAAAAAAUCAUUCAAGUGCAAAGAGAAAUAUUCCUCUUAAUGUCUGGAGCAAACAAAUAUUUCCCAGUAACAUAGCACACACACACACACACACACACAGUGCACCUGACAUCUCAAACAACGCCAUUGCUCAAAUUCAAACAAACAACAUGGAUGAGAUCUACAUCCUUGCAGUAGUGUGAGUGUGUAAGUGUGUGUGAGUGCGUGUGUGCAAGUGAGUGAGUGAGUGAGUGUGUGUGUGUGAGUGAGUGAGGGAGUAAGUGUGUGAGUGAGUGAGUGAGUGAGUGACUGUGUGUGUGUGUGUGUGCAUGCUGCAGGGAACUGGCUGUUUGUCUGCCACCUUCAGCUUUAAAAUGAUCUCUCAUUCUGUGUUGACCACUUCAGUAUUUCAGCCUACAUUCUUCAGUGAGUGUAUGAUGCUUUUUUUUGUGCUGUUUUAAACCUGUUUAAUCUUAGAUCUGUUACAGGGGUUAGGUUUAGCUGCCGAGAUUACAGUUUGACUAACACAUCCCCGAUGCAAACAUGUAACUCAUUAUGCAAAAAUGCUGACCCAUUUGCAUCUGCAGGCACUGAAAUGUAGUGCCGACAUACAACACCCAAACCUGGUCAGCACUCCCAACUCAAAGCACAACCACCUCAAAUUACAGCAGUGUUGCCAUGCUCCUAUGUGCUUUUAUAGCACUUGUGUUGUGAAAUGGAACUCGAUUCUCGAUUGCUCCCGGUUACCUGUCCCGAGUCACAAUGCUGUCACACACUCGUGACCUCUAUGCCACAGCAAAGGGCUGUUCGGUCAUGUUGCCGUUAUGGUCCAUGUUUAUGGGCAAUCAUUAAAUUGUGAUUUAUGAAAAUAUCUUGUGAUCGCUGCUGGAAUUUCUGGUUCCGAACUCGUGCUGCUGUAUUGCAUAUUUUGUAUCCCGUGGGAGAUGAUGUGCGAGCUCAAUAAGAGUAGAGCUGGGCUGAGAUGAGUUGAGUAACUGAAAUGCAGUUGUUUUUUGUUUUUGGGUGGGGCAUUUAGGUUUGGUCUUUGCCAAUUUCCUCUAUUGCCCGUUGGUCUGCUGUGCCAGACACUGCUGUGCAGAAAAGCUUUUGUCUGUAAAAAUGCUACACGAAUAAAUCAGAAUGAAUACAUCUGAA